GACGAACGCUGGCGGCGUGCUUAACACAUGCAAGUCGAACGGUGAAGCGCCUUCCUUUUUGGUGGGUGUGGAUGAGUGGCGAACGGGUGAGUAACACGUGAGUAACCUGCCCCCUUCUUCUGGAUAACCGCAUGAAAGUGUGGCUAAUACGGGAUAUUCUGGGUCUGUCGCAUGAUGGGUCUGGGAAAGAUAUUGUUUCGGUGGGGGAUGGGCUCGCGGCCUAUCAGCUUGUUGGUGGGGUGAUGGCCUACCAAGGCGGUGACGGGUAGCCGGCCUGAGAGGGUGGACGGUCACACUGGGACUGAGACACGGCCCAGACGCCGACGGGAGGCAGCAGUGGGGAAUAUUGCACAAUGGGCGCAAGCCUGAUGCAGCGACGCCGCGUGAGGGAUGGAGGCCUUCGGGUUGUGAACCUCUUUCGCCAGUGAAGCAGGCCUGCCUCGUUUGUGGGUGGGUUGACGGUAGCUGGAUAAGAAGCGCCGGCUAACUACGUG
rnacentral:rRNA from 1 species